UACGUAGGGUGCAAGCGUUAAUCGGAAUUACUGGGCGUAAAGCGUGCGCAGGCGGUUGUGCAAGUCCGAUGUGAAAUCCCCGGGCUUAACCUGGGAAUGGCAUUGGUGACUGCACGGCUGGAGUGUGUCAGAGGGGGGUAGAAUUCCACGUGUAGCAGUGAAAUGCGUAGAGAUGUGGAGGAAUACCGAUGGCGAAGGCAGCCCCCUGGGAUAACACUGACGCUCAUGCACGAAAGCGUGGGGAGCAAACAGG
rnacentral:rRNA from 1 species